AUUGAACGCUGGCGGCAGGCCUAACACAUGCAAGUCGAGCGGCGCGGCGGACGGGUGAGUAAUGCCUAGGUAUCUGCCUGGUCGUGGGGGAUAACGACCGGAACCGGGCGCUAAUACCGCAUCCUCUCAGAUGCGCCUAGGUCGGAUUAGCUAGUUGUUGGGGUAAAGGCCUACCAAGGCGACGAUCCGUAACUGGUCUGAGAGGAUGAUCAGUCACACUGGAACUGAGAAACGGUCCAGACUCCUACGGGAGGCAGCAGUGGGGAAGAUUGGACAAUGGGCGAAAGCCUGAUGCAGCCAUGCCGCGUGUGUGAAGAAGGUCUUCGGGUUGUAAAGCACUUUAAGUUGGGAGGCGUUACCAACAGAAUAAGCACCGGCUAACUUCGUGCCAGCAGCCGCGGUAAUUC
rnacentral:rRNA from 1 species